rnacentral:rRNA from 1 species
GACGAACGCUGGCGGCGUGCCUAAUACAUGCAAGUUGAGCGAUGAAGAUUGGUGCUUGCACCAAUUUGAAGAGCAGCGAACGUGUGAGUAACGCGUGGGGAAUCUGCCUUUGAGCAGGGGACAACAUUUGGAAACGAAUGCUAAUACCGCAUAACAACUUUAAACAUAAGUUUUAAGUUUGAAAGAUGCAAUUGCAUCACUCAAAGAUGAUCCCGCGUUGUAUUAGCUAGUUGGUGAGGUAAAGGCUCACCAAGGCGAUGAUACAUAGCCGACCUGAGAGGGUGAUCGGCCACAUUGGGACUGAGACACGGCCCAAACUCCUACGGGAGGCAGCAGUAGGGAAUCUUCGGCAAUGGACGAAAGUCUGACCGAGCAACGCCGCGUGAGUGAAGAAGGUUUUCGGAUCGUAAAACUCUGUUGGUAGAGAAGAACGUUGGUGAGAGUGGAAAGCUCAUCAAGUGACGGUAACUACCCAGAAAGGGACGGCUAACUACGUG